GAUGAACGCUGGCGGCGUGCCUAACACAUGCAAGUCGAACGGAGAUUACGGACGGAAGUUUUCGGAUGGAAGCCUGUAAUUCUUAGUGGCGGACGGGUGAGUAACGCGUGGGCAACCUGCCCUAUACAGGGGGAUAGCAGCUGGAAACGGCUGGUAAGACCGCAUAAGUCGGCGAGACCGCAUGGUUUUGCCGGGAAAUGAGCAAUCAGGUAUAGGAUGGGCCCGCGUCCGAUUAGCCAGUUGGCAGGUUAAAAGCCUACCAAAGCAACGAUCGGUAGCCGGACUGAGAGGUCGGACGGCCACAUUGGGACUGAGACACGGCCCAAACUCCUACGGGAGGCAGCAGUGGGGGAUAUUGCACAAUGGAGGAAACUCUGAUGCAGCGACGCCGCGUGAGUGAAGAAGUAUUUCGGUAUGUAAAGCUCUAUCAGCAGGGAAGAUGAUGACGGUACCUGACUAAGAAGCCACGGCUAACUACGUG
rnacentral:rRNA from 1 species